rnacentral:rRNA from 1 species
AUUUUUUUUUUAUUUAUUUUUUGGUAUUGCAUACUAGUAGAUUAAAAUAUCAUUGUUUAUGAAUAAUAGAGUAUAAAUGUUAAUUAGGAUUAUUUUUAUUUGUAACAAAUUUAAUUAUAAUUUUAAUGGUAUUGAGAAAACGUAUUUAUUUAUCUGUUUAUUUUUUAGAAAUGGAAAGUGUUUGUUUUUUUUUUAUGGUUUUAAAAAUGUUUUAUUUGGUUUAAUGUUGUGGUUAAAACAUAAAUAUUGGGUGGAUAUAAUUUAUUAUUUUUUUUGGUUAAUUUUUUAACUAAUUUAGAAUUUUUACUUUAGUAAAUUUUUUUAUUUUUGCUUUUUUUGAUUUAGAAUAUUUUUAGAGAACUUUUUUUCUUGUCAAAUGUUUAUUAAAAACUUAGAUUUUUUUAUAAAGUUGUCUUCUGCUCAAUGAAAAUUUUAAAUGGCAGCCUUAGCGUGAUGGCAUAAAAGUAGCGUAAGUGAUUUGUUUUUUUAAUGAUUUCAUGUAUGAAUGGAGUUUUUGACAGGUUUUUUAUAUAUUUUUUAGUUGAAUUAUUUUUUUAAUUAAAAAUUAUUAGUUAAAGUAUUACAAAGAUAAGUCUUCGGAAACUUUUUUAAAUAUUUUAUGAUUUUUUGAGGUAUUUAUUUUUCUUGGGGCUGGAGUUUAAAAAAUUUUUAAAUUCUAUUAUUAAUGUUAAAAGUUACUUCGGAGUUAACAGGGUUACAGACAUAUAAAUAGAAUUGAUAUUAUUAUGCUGUUCUACAUCGAUGUUGUAUAUUUUUUGUAAUUGGGAAGAGAAAGUAAUUUUGUUGAGACUGUUCUUCUUGUAUAAAAAAUAAACUUGAUAUUAGUUUAGUUCGUCGUGAGACAGAGCGGUUUAUCUUGUAUAUUUUUUUUAUUUUUCAGAAUUAGUACGAAAGGAAAAUUAUGAAGGUUAAUAUUGGUAACCUUUAGUAGUAAAUUAAAGAUUCUUU